AGGUCUCUAACAGCGAAUCCAAGACUGGGAUUUUUUUAAAGCUCUCUUCCCUUCCCCACCUUGAGUGUACAAUGGAGAGUGCUAGUGUGGUGUCACAUGGUGCAACAUGGCUCAGUGUUGUGUGAAACUAAGAUUUGGGGCAUAUUUUAUAAUGAACAUAACAUAUGAGCAUAACAGUCGUGAUUAACGUAUACAAUUAAAGAUAUGUGGAAAUGACUCCAUCUCCGACCACACAUCCUCUGAGUAAUUUUGAUGGGGAUGGCUUAUGUUCUACUGCCACCUCGUGGUGGGCAUUCUGUGAACAUGCAUCUUGGAACAGUGGGGAGAACCAGUUUGGACUUCUGAGGAUCCAAAAGCCCAAGAAAAAAAUCUGAGUUCUCACGACAAAGUCACUUCCUGCUACAACACCUGGAAAAUGUCAUGACCCGAGCUAGUCUCACUUCAGAGUCCCUGGUUUCUAGUACGGUGCCUGACAGAUAGAUGACUUUCUUUAUAUGUUGCUGAAGACAGGCAGAGAGGAAGAAAGGAAGAGAGGAUAAAGGGAGGAAUAAACUUGAUAUAAGCAUCUUUGCAUAAUUAACAACUGGGUCAAAUUUUCUUCAUUUCAUUGAGAUUCUUGAUACAAGCCUCUGCUGAUGAAUUGGAUUCCAAAAAGCAAAAAUGAAGGUUUGGAGAAGUAUUAGUAUAAGAAGGCAUAUGACUCGCAGGCUCACUUAGUUAUCCGUCCUCCCCUGGAGAUGGUCCUAAUAGUACUGCAGCCCUUAAAACAAGGAAACAGCUUCUCUGAGCAACACAGUCUACAAGGAAGCAUUCCAACUUCCAGAAAAGAUUUUUCCCAUCCUCCUCCUGAAAGGUUCAAAGAGACCAUGAAAUCUCAACCGUCUUCACCAGCAACAUUGUAUAUCAACAGGAAAAAAACAAUUUCAUUAGUG
ensembl:lncRNA LINC02401 long intergenic non-protein coding RNA 2401